rnacentral:lncRNA from 1 species
AAAAUAGCUUGAGAUGGUUGGUCCAGCACCUCGGACUUCUUAGGAGGAGCAGAAGAGGCUUGUUGUCAGAUCUCCAAGAUCAGAUCUGCUAUCAACAUAUAGAAGCCUGUGCUGCCCAGUGAUUGGGUCAAGCUGUACAAUAUGAUGAAGGUGUGAUG